AUUGAACGCUGGCGGCAUGCCUUACACAUGCAAGUCGAACGGCAGCACGGGAGCAAUCCUGGUGGCGAGUGGCGAACGGGUGAGUAAUAUAUCGGAACGUGCCCAGUCGUGGGGGAUAACGUAGCGAAAGCUACGCUAAUACCGCAUACGAUCUAUGGAUGAAAGCGGGGGAUCGCAGACCUCGCGCGAUUGGAGCGGCCGAUAUCAGAUUAGGUAGUUGGUGAGGUAAAGGCUCACCAAGCCGACGAUCUGUAGCUGGUCUGAGAGGACGACCAGCCACACUGGGACUGAGACACGGCCCAGACUCCUAC
rnacentral:rRNA from 1 species